GGUGGCUCAGUGGUAGAGUGCUUGCCUUGCAUGCAUGAAGCCCUGGGUUCGAUUCCCCAGCACCA
rfam:Dipodomys ordii contig_42077, whole genome shotgun sequence.